AUAAAGCUGGUGGUGGUUUACUA
rnacentral:siRNA from 1 species